UUAAUGUUUCAAGCUUUCAUAUCUUCCUGGAAAUUCCAGUUGGUAUUAAACAAAAAAGUAAUGUUGAUGACAUUGUUCAAAAGCGCUACCAAUAUCAUCUCUCUUCCCAUUCCUUUAUUUCAUGGCUCACAUUAGGCAGCUUGACGACUUCCUUAGGACCUUUCAUAUCC